rnacentral:rRNA from 1 species
CGGGUUAGCAAUAAUUCGGUGGUCCUAGUGGCGCACGGGUGAGUAACACGUGGGUGACCUGCCCUUGAGCUCGGGAUACCCCCUCGAAAGGGGGGCUAAUACCGGAUACGUUCCUCGGUCGAAAGACUGAGGAGGAAAGGUGGCGCAAGCUGCCGCUCUUGGAGGGGCUCGCGGCCUAUCAGCUAGUUGGCGGGGUAACGGCCCACCAAGGCUAUGACGGGUAGCUGGUCUGAGAGGACGACCAGCCACACGGGGACUGAGACACGGCCCCGACUCCUACGGGAGGCAGCAGUGGGGAAUUUUCCGCAAUGGGCGAAAGCCUGACGGAGUGACGCCGCGUGUGGGACGAAGGCCUUCGGGUCGUAAACCACUGUCAGUGGGAAAGAUGGGUGUCGGCGCUAAUACCGCCGGCAUCUGACGGUACCUGCAGAGGAAGCCCCGGCCAACUCUGUGCCAGCAGCCGCGGUAAGACAGAGGGGGCAAGCGUUGCUCGGAAUUACUGGGCGUAAAGGGCGCGUAGGCGGGAUGGCAAGUCGGUCGUGAAAUCCCUCGGCUCAACCGAGGAACGUCGAUCGAUACUGCUGUUCUUGAGGAUUGCAGAGGAGACUGGAAUUCCCGGUGUAGCGGUGAAAUGUGUAGAGAUCGGGAGGAACACCGGUGGCGAAGGCGGGUCUCUGGGCAAUUCCUGACGCUGAGGCGCGAAAGCGUGGGGAGCAAACGGGAUUAGAUACCCCGGUAGUCCACGCUGUAAAC